rnacentral:rRNA from 1 species
UACGUAGGGGGCAAGCGUUGUCCGGAUUCAUUGGGCGUAAAGAGCGUGUAGGCGGCCAGGUAGGUCGGUUGUGAAAACUGGAGGCUCAACCUUCAGACGUCGAUCGAAACCAUCUGGCUAGAGUCCGGGAGAGGAGAGUGGAAUUCCUGGUGUAGCGGUGAAAUGCGCAGAUAUCAGGAAGAACACCCGUGGCGAAAGCGGCUCUCUGGAACGGUACUGACGCUGAGACGCGAAAGCGUGGGGAGCAAACAGGAUUAGAAC